rnacentral:rRNA from 1 species
GACGAACGCUGGCGGCGUGCUUAACACAUGCAAGUCGAGCGGUAAGGCCCUUUCGGGGGUACACGAGCGGCGAACGGGUGAGUAACACGUGGGUGACCUGCCCUCAGCUCUGGGAUAAGCCUGGGAAACCGGGUCUAAUACUGGAUAUGACUCCAUGACGCAUGUUGUGGGGUGGAAAGCCUUGUGCGGCUGAGGAUGGGCCCGCGGCCUAUCAGCUUGUUGGUGGGGUGAUGGCCUACCAAGGCGACGACGGGUAGCCGGCCUGAGAGGGCGACCGGCCACACUGGGACUGAGACACGGCCCAGACUCCUACGGGAGGCAGCAGUGGGGAAUCUUGCGCAAGUGGGCGAAAGCCUGACGCAGCGACGCCGCGUGAGGGAUGACGGCCU